rnacentral:rRNA from 1 species
UACAGAGGUGGCAAGCGUUGUUCGGAAUUACUGGGCGUAAAGGGCGUGUAGGCGGCCAACUAAGUCCGACGUGAAAUCCCUAGGCUUAACCUAGGAACUGCGUCGGAUACUGGAUGGCUUGAAUCCGGGAGAGGGAUGCGGAAUUCCAGGUGUAGCGGUGAAAUGCGUAGAUAUCUGGAGGAACACCGGUGGCGAAGGCGGCAUCCUGGACCGGCAUUGACGCUGAACAGCGAAAGCCAGGGGAGCAAACGGG